rnacentral:lncRNA from 1 species
AGUUCUGCUUCUGAAGCUGGAAGGGGCUUUUCGGUUGUAACCCUUGGGUUAGUUUCAGUUACUUCUUUGCUAGGUUGAGGAAAGGGUGGAAGCGCCUCCUGCAGCCACGAAUAUCCUCCAGUGCCUGAGAGAAAACGGCCUAAUCGAAAACGUCCGCGGCAUACAUCCAUUCUUAAAACUUGAGUGGCUGCUUUUCUGGGUGGAAAAGAGCGGUAUCAGACAGGAUAAGUGCCCUCUGUGUACCAAAAAGGAAUGUACUGUUUAUAGAGACUUCAAAUCAGCAGAAAAUUCAAAUAGUUAUAACUUUUCUUUAUAAUCCAUCAUGAAAAAGAGUAACGACAAAUAAGAGUGCAGUGGUGCAGUCAUGGCUCACUGCAGCGUCUGCCUCCUGGACUCAAAGAAUCCUCCUACCUCAGCCUCCCAAGUAGCUAGGACCACAGGUAUGUACCACCACACCCAGUUAUUAUUAUUAUUUUUUUUCACAGAGACAGGAUCUCACUAUGUUGCCCAGGCUGGUCUCCAACUCCUAGGCUCAAGCGAUCUACCUGCCUCAACCUCCCAAAGUGCUGGGAUUACAGGCAUGUGCCACUGGGCCUAGCCUGGCAUUACUCUUACAAAGGAUACACCACGAGUUGUGCUCUCCUGCAGCGUUUUGCGGACGGCUGGCUAUCUUACCCAGAAUCAAUCACACUGGGACACUGAAAAAAAAAAAAAAGGAAAAAAGAGCGAGGGAGUAAUUCUAGCCUGUUUUUACAAGAACACAGUGGCUAUAGACAGUGCCAGUGUGAAGAUGACUCAGCAAACGUGGAGAACCAAAGAUUCUAGGGCAGCACCAAAACUGGGAAAGCAAUUACAGCAGAAGUUGCCUUCCCCAUGGUAGCUUAGCAACUUCGUGUCUCUCCAAGGCAGAGAGGAAAAUCAAGUCUAACAGGCCUUCCCGAAGGCUAGGUGUGAAAUACCAGAAGCCAUCUUUGUUUCUGGCGAUGUCACUAAAUAAGUAUUUGUUGAUAUAAAGUAUUACACAUCUGUUCUCCCACAUUUCAGCUAAAUUGCCAAAAGUUAACCCUUUCUGGAGAUCCAGAAUGGAGCAAUAUACCUAGCUCUCAUUCAUUAUUUCCCUUGCUGAUAUUCUUGCAUAGCUUUUAGUUUAUGCAUUUGUCCCAAAUAAACCUAGAAAAAGCCACUUGUCGUAGGACAAGAUGAGCUGAUGAUUUGAAUCACUCCCCCACUGAGGAAGAAACCAUCUGUGGAAAAGACUGUAUAAGGUACUUCCUGGUUGAACGGUAGGGCUCUGGAGUCAGAAGUCUUGAAUUUGAAUCCCAGCCCUGAAAUGUAUCAGCUGUGUGCCCUUAGCUAAGAAAUCACAAGCUCAUCAUGUGAAGAGGAAGAGUUUGGCAGCUCAUCUUAAAUUGUAAUUAUCUUCUUUGCAUGAAUCCUGGAGAAAAGGUCUGCAUAUCAGUUUAUUUUUAUAAAACCGUCUGGUUCUGCUGAUGGUAAGACAUCACUUGGAUGAGCUACACAGAAGCUAAGGAACUGUCAGGGUAGGCCCACAUCAUUGGUAUUGCUAUUGAGAUGUAACUUCUUUUGCAUAAAGCUUUGCUACUACUAUUUGUUCACUUCCUUUAUAGUUUCUUGGAUAGAAUGUAGGAGCCUGAAUAAAAUUCCUGGAGAAGGAAUUUUCUUUUCCUUUUUCUUUUUUGGGGGAAGUGAGGGUGGGGAGGGGCUGGGUCUCACUCUGUCACCCAGGCUAGAGCGUAGUGACACCAUUACAGGCCACUGCAGCCUUGACCUCCUGGGCCCCACCUCAGCCUCCUGAGUAGCUGGGACUACAGGCAUGCACCACCAUGCCUGGCUAAUUAUUGAAUUUUUUGUUGAGAUGGGGUCUCCCUAUAUCGCCUGGGCUUGGACCUACUUUCUGAUGGUCAUUGUCUCUGGGGUUCCCCAAACUCAAAACAUUAAUGUAUCUCAUUGUAAAAGAAAAUAUGUAUUUUCAAAAGCAUUGGUAGCUGAUUAUAAAUGGAUGUUAUAUCUUCCCUGUGGAACACAAGUAAUUUAGUUUUGAUGGAUAAAAUGACAAUCCUUUAAUAUUAUAUUGCUUAUUCUGAUAGAUCGGAUUUGAGGUUGGGUAUAUUUAUAAAUUUUAUUAAAUGGAUGUUUCAGAGAGCUGUGAUUAAGAUUCUAGGACAUUUUUUAGCCGGGGAAGCACAUAGAAUCUUGAAAGUCUUCAUCUCUCGUGAACACUUUUUAUCAAUAGUUUUAAUUUCAGGUUAGAAUUUAUGAUUUACUUAAUCUCUGCUUGUUGGCAGGAAUUCUAUUUAUAUUAUAUAUUUUUUCUUUUUCUUUUUCUUCCUGGCUUGUCUUCAGUACGAUAUACUCUAAAUUUUGCUGUAAAUUUCCAGCAUGGUGCUAAUAUUUGGGUGAGACAGAAUUUCACCAGUGGGAUGUGUUUUCUGGUGCUUUUAAACCUGAAUUAUGAUUUAUUGUCAUGAAUUGUUUCUGGACUCUGGUAACUCUUCCAAGGUGGGUAAAGGCAGCAUUGAGCCCCAGGACACCAGGGGAAGACAUAGAAAUCUAUUUCCUAUGGCAGAAGAGAUUGUAAUCACUUCUGCCCGCCGUGGCCUUUUGGUUACAGGAAUCAAUACAAACAGCAGCUCUCCACGGUCCAUUUGCUUUAUCGGUGGCCCUCGGGUGAGCAAUCAUCUCAAUUUGCCUGGCACUGUGGGGAUUCCCCAGAGGGACUUGGGACUAUUUUCCCAGUUUUUUUUUUUUUCAAUUUUAGAAAUCCUAUUGGUUUGCAGUGGUGCCCCACUGUGGUUUUGAUUUGCAUUUCCCUGAUGACCACUGAUGUUGAGCAUCCUUUUACAUGCUUGCUGACCACUUGUAUGUCUUUUUUGGAGAAACGUGUAUUCAAGCUGUCUUCCUUAUAGCUAAAUAAAAUCAAACAAAAUCCCACCUCACAUAAGGUGAAGUUUCCAGCUGUAGAGCGAAUGAACUUUUAGGUCACCUGAGCAACCCCUUUUCUGACAUGUCUGAGAUAAAUUAAUCUUCUGAUGACAGCACAAUUGUCAUGGGACUUAUCUCAGGUCCAAGUGUUGUGCAGUGAGGUGAUAAACAGAUCCAGAGUGCUUCACCCAGCAACUCCACUCAACUUUUGUAAUAGGUUGGAUUUUGAGUUCCUGCAGAACAGGUAAGAUGCCAGUCAACCUGGCCCUUGGUCCUUCACUCAUGGGUCAGUCCAAGCAUGUAGUACAAUUAUUCCUCCAGUGGCAAGUCAGCAAGAGGGGGCAGAUGAGGUCAGCUACAGACAGGAUAAGAGAAAGCAGGAGAAGCCUAUUGUCCACCAUUGCAAUUUUAAUUGGCUACAUUUGAAGCUGGUAGGAAUACAGACCACUGAGUGCCCUGGAGGAGGCAGUGCUUUAAGCCAUUUUUGUUCAAUCACUUCCUAUGAUUUAGUUUAUUGGCUUAGUAGAAAACAUUAUGAGGGCCGGGUGUGAUAGCUCACGCCUGUAAUCCCAGCACUUUGGGAAGCCGAGGUGGGUGGAUCACCUGAGGUCAGGAGUUCAAGACCAGCCUGACCAACAUGGUGAAACCUUGUCUCUACUAAAAAUACAAAAUUAGCCAGGCAUGGUGGCGGGCGCCUAUAAUCCAAGCUACUUGGGAGGCUGAGGCAGGAGAAUCUCUUGAACCCAGGAGGUGGAGGUUGCAGUGAGCUGAGAUCGCACUAUUGCACUCCAGCCUGGGCAACAAGAGCGAAAUUCAGUCAGAAAGAAAGAAAGAAAGAAAGAAAGAAAGAAAGAAAGAAAGAAAGAAAGAAAGAAAGAAAGAAAGAAAGAAAGAAAGAAAGAAAGAAAGAAAGAAAGAAGGAAGGAAGGAAGGAAGGAAGGAAGGAAGGAAGGAAGGAAGGAAGGAAGGAAGGGGAAAGAAAACAUUAUGGAAUACUGAGUAAACAAGUUCAAGCAGGGCACAGUGGCUCACACCUGUAAUCCCAGCACUUUGGGAGGCGGGCAGAUCACGAGGUCAAGAGAUCAAGACCAUCCUGGCCAACAUGGUGAAACCCUGUCUCUACUGAAAAUACAAAAAUUAGCUGGACGUGGUGGCACGUGCCUGUAGUCCCAUCUACUCGGGAGGCUGAGGCAAGAUAAUCACUGGAACCCGAGAGGCGGAGGUUACAGUGAGCCGAGAUCAGGCCACUGCACUCCAGCCUGGCCACAGAGUGAGAUUCCGCCUCAAAAAAAAAAAAAAAAAAAAAAGUUCAGAUGUGUGGGGAGGAAAUAGGAAAUGUCCUGGAAUAGUGAGUGAUGGAUGAGUCUUAUCGGGAAAAGCUUUAGGGGACUAGAGGUGGCGUAAAAGGACUGGGCCACAUUUCAAGGGAGAGAAGGGAUGCAGGGGUAUUGUGGCCAUUGCCUAUUUCUUCUUUUUUUUUUUUUGAGACGGAGUCUCACUCUGUUGCCCAGGCUAGAGUGCAGUGGCAUGAUCUUGGCUCACUGCAACCUCUGCCUCCUGGGUUCAAGCUAUUGUCCUGCCUCAGCCUCCCAAGUAGCUGGGAUUACAGGCACGUGCCACCACGCCCGGCUAAUUUUUUUGUAUUUUUAGUAGAGAUGGGGGUUUCACCACGUUGGCCAGGCUGGUCUCGAACUCCUGACCUCCGGUAAUCUGCCUGCCUCGGCCUCCCAAAGGCCGAGGAUUACAGGCUGGGGUUACAGGCACGUGCCACCACGCCCAGGUAUGGCCAUUGUCAAAUCCUGUUUCUUUCUCACUCACCCAGACUGCAGACUAACACAGGUCUUGUCAGACAAUCCCUUACCAGGCCGCUCCAACGCGAGGAAAGGUAAGGUAGGAAGAAGCUGCGUUUAGAGGGAGGGGACUUGUGGGAAUGAUGCACCAAUAAUACACAAAGGCUUCAUUAGGGCACAUCAAUCCAGGAGUCCUUCACUUUAUAGUGUCCUUUAGGAACUUCUCCUGGGACUGAAUUCCUCUGGGCUAGGAUAGUCUGAGCUUUAGGGCAGCCCAGGAACUUCUUGGAAGAAGUGAAAGGCUCUUGAGUCUGUCAGUAUUUGUUUCCUUGCUCUUACAUACACAGUGCAAGAGUGCAUUCCCAAUACAUGCAACUCUUGAACUGUAACAAUGAUAAUGAUGGGUUGAAAGCUUACAAUAUUACAAAUGUCUCUAGUUUCCCCAGAAAUUUUUCUGUAAUUUGCUUUCCGUUUCUCCGUUGAUAUUUUGAAACCCUUAAAGAAAAGCCACUUGCACACUGGAUUUUGUUUCUGUUAGUAUAGAUCCUUCAAAUGACAACCUAGUGACAAAUGGAACUCUAGGACCUAAGAUCCAGGAUCUUACCCCUUCUCUCUCUCUCUUUUUUUUUCUUUUGAGACGGAGUCUUGCUCUGUCACCCAGGCUGGAGUGCAGUGGCACAGUCUUGGCUCACUGAAACCCCUGCCUCCUGGGCUGAAAUCAUCUGCCUCAACCUCCCGAGUAGCUGGGAUUACAGGCGUGCACCACCAUACCUGGCUAAUUUUUGUGUUUUUAGUAGAAAUGAGGUUUCAUCAUAUUGGCCAGGCUGGUCUUGAACUCCUGACCCCAGGUGAUCCACCCGCCUCAGCCUCCCGAAGUGCUGGGAUUACAGUUGUGAGCCACUGCACCCGGCCCCCCUUCUCCUUUUGAAUAUUAAUUCACAAGGCUUCUUCCUGUUGGCUACACCAAACAAAAUUGUAUCUAUUCUGUUUUUGUUUUUGUUUUUGUUUUUGUUUUUGUUUUCCAGUUUAGAAAACAUGGCCCUUUUAGCUGUAAUUAUAUGGCUGGAAGAAGAAACAAAGUUGUGAGCUGCAAUGGAGCUGAAUGUUUUUGUCCCCCCACCAAUCCCCCUCAAAAAACUCAUAGGUUGAAAUCCUAACCCCCAGUGUAAUAGAAAAUGGGGCUUUUGGGAGGUAAUUAGGUCAUGAGGGUAGAGCCCUCAUGGAGGGAUUAAUGACCUUAUAAAAGAGACUCCAGAAAGCUAGCUUGUCCUAUUUCUGCCAUGUGAGGACACAACAAGACAGUAGUCAUGUGCAGCCCAGAAGAGGGUCCGCACCAGAACCCAACCAUGCUGGGACCCUGAUCUCAAACUGGCAACCUGCAGAACUCUAAGAAAUGCCUCCUGUUUAUAAGCCACCAGUUUAUGGGACUUUGUUAUAAGCAGCCCAAGCUAAGGCAUAUGGGCAAUGAAAAUAUCAGAAUUGUUUGAAACUUUAAUCUAUUGUAAUAACUCCUUUCACAUUGUGUAUAAUACGUCGGUUUAACAAUAUGUAAUAAAAUUUUAAAACAAGGCAUCUAUUCCAAGAAUUAAUUAAUUAUAUUAAUUGAACAGACACUUACUAAUUCAUUCAACAAAUUGCUGAACACCUGAUAUGUGCCAGAUAUUUUUCUAGGUGCUGGAGAUACAGCAGUGAAAACAAAGAGCAAACCCUGACCCUUGUGAAGUGAAUUGUCAGGAGCUCAGCUGAGCUGGGAGAGAGAGAGCUCUCAGAGUAGCCGGUUACAGCAACAAGCCAGAGAUAAAAGAACCGAGCCUUUAAUCACUCACGGCAAUGGUAAAAGCAAGAGCUUAAAGCAGUUUUAUGGACCCUGAAGCAGGAGGGCAGCGGCGAGAGCUUGGAGUGGACAAGUCCUGGGUGAUGAGUCAGAGUAGGGGAAUGUAUCAUCAAGGUCUCCCUCCUCCCCGCAUAAGGAGGUCUUGGCAAAGGCAUCUGAAAAGGACGUCUACCCAAGGUCUGCCAGAGACUAGCAAUGAAGACUCUGGGGCCAGGAAUGUAAACAUAGGAAAAGCAUGACUGACCGGGAGAGCCUGAGUCCUUGACUGCAACUUCCUUCAGAGACCGUGACCCACUGGCUGUGCACCAAAUGUCUCUCAGAGAGCAGCAGCUUUCUGUAUGAGGUCUGCCAGGUAAGGCCUUCGUAAUUGCCUGUAGUCAGGUCUGAAAGAUCACACAUUUGGCUUAAGCAAAAGCCAGACUCCUCACUAACAUUCUAGAUAAUAAAUAUUCAAGCCAAAUAUAUGCUAUAUUAGUGGUAAGUGCUGACAAAAAAGGUAAAUAAAUAAAUAAGCAAGCAAGCUGGGAAGGCAGAUAGGGAGUAAAUGAGAGUUAGGGAGUACAAGUGUGAUAGCAAUUUGAGUCAAAGGCAGGCAAACGAGGCUUCAUUGUAAAGGUGGCAUUUGGUGAAACACUUCAGAAAUUGAGACUUGCAGCUACCCAAGAGAAGAGCAGGUCAAUCAGAGGGUACAAGAGGUAAAAAUUUCAGGAGGUGGAAGUCCGUUUGUCUAGAGUGGAGCAAGCAAAGGGAGAGGGGCAGGGGUGAUGGAGACAGAGAGCUAAUGAGGCACCAGGUCUUGCAGGGCCCUGUAGCCACUGCAAGAACAUGAACUUUUUCUCUGGGUGAGACGGGAAGCCACUGAGGACUUUGCAGAAAUAACAUGCUCUGACUCUAGAUGCCCUCCUGAGAAUAGAUUUGGGAGAGAAGAGGAGAGGAUGUUAAGGACAGAAGCAGGGAGAUCUGUUAGGAGACUACUGUAAUAAUCCAG